rnacentral:tRNA from 1 species
UAGCACAGUGGUUAGUGCAGUCUGCCGGAAACAGAAAGACGCGGGUUUAAUCCCCGU